rnacentral:rRNA from 1 species
CCAGACUCCUACGGGAGGCAGCAGUGGGGAAUAUUGCACAAUGGGGGGAACCCUGAUGCAGCGACGCCGCGUGGGUGAAGAAGCGCCUCGGCGCGUAAAGCCCUGUCAGCAGGGAAGAAAAUGACGGUACCUGAAGAAGAAGCCCCGGCUAACUACGUGCCAGCAGCCGCGGUAAUACGGAGGAUGCGAGCGUUAUCCGGAUUCAUUGGGUUUAAAGGGUGCGCAGGCGGGCCUUUAAGCCGGCGGGGAAAGGGGCGGGCCCAACCCCCGCCGAGCCGUCGGAACUGGGGGCCUUGAGUGCGGCGGAGGCAUGCGGAAUGCGCGGUGUAGCGGUGAAAUGCAUAGAUAUCGCGCAGAACCCCGAUUGCGAAGGCAGCGUGCCGUGCCGCCACUGACGCUGAGGCACGAAAGCGCGGGGAUCGAACAGGAUUAGAUACCCUGGUA